rnacentral:rRNA from 1 species
ACUCCUGCGGGAGGCAGCAGUGGGGAAUUUUGGACAAUGGGCGAAAGCCUGAUCCAGCAAUGCCGCGUGCAGGAUGAAGGCCUUCGGGUUGUAAACUGCUUUUGUACGGAACGAAAAAGCUCCUUCUAAUACAGGGGGCCCAUGACGGUACCGUAAGAAUAAGCACCGGCUAACUACGUGCCAGCAGCCGCGGUAAUACGUAGGGUGCGAGCGUUAAUCGGAAUUACUGGGCGUAAAGCGUGCGCAGGCGGUUAUGUAAGACAGAUGUGAAAUCCCCGGGCUCAACCUGGGAACUGCAUUUGUGACUGCAUGGCUAGAGUACGGUAGAGGGGGAUGGAAUUCCGCGUGUAGCAGUGAAAUGCGUAGAUAUGCGGAGGAACACCGAUGGCGAAGGCAAUCCCCUGGACCUGUACUGACGCUCAUGCACGAAAGCGUGGGGAGCAAACAGGAUUAGAAACCCGAGUAGUCCCAUGA